GCGAUCCUUUGCACAGAAACAACUGUAGCCGUUUCUCAAUUGUUAUAAUUGUUUUAAAGGAUUACUAACUUUCUCUUCGACUGCUUCUCAAGACACAUUGAGAGGAAGAAGGAGAGAGGAAAUAUGAAUUGGGAGGUGAGGUUUCUCUCCUCAGACCUUCUUGUCCUAUGUGUUUCGAGAAGGAGGCGAGGAGACAGGACAUGUUAAAUCAAUUAAAGGAGCCUUUCUCCACCAGUAGCUUCCAGGUUUGACAGUGUCUCCUUGCCAUCAGACUCAGACCUCUGUAAGAACCAGACCCAGCUUGAGACCUGUUUUGACCCCAGGAAAUGCAGCAGGAGUCGUUGGAAAGAAUGAAGGAGUUUUGGCAAGCCCCUGGUUCCCGUGCAGCAAUCUACUAAUGACCUGCACAGCUGUGAGAUGAGGAUGAAAAGUACUGAAUAACGAAUGCAACAAGGCAGGCCUGCUUCAUUAGCAGACAGUGAAGGUCUCACUCACCCAGGGUCCAGGGACCACACUGCCUGGUGCCUGCUACACUGCUGGAACCUCUGAAGCUGAGCCCACCUGUUACCGCUGCUACCAUGAGGACUCGAGCAGAUGCCCCCCGAGGAGGAAAUUACAUCACACGUUUGUUGUGUCCACCCUGGACAGGCAGCAGUGUUCUUGGGUUUAAAGUGAAGCAACCUGGGUGAGAGAGGAGUCACAGACGCAAACAAAAGCACACACACACACGCACCCACCCACCCACACACACAUAAACAAAUAGACAGACACACAGACAGACAGAGACACACACACAGACACGCGCUCAGAUGCAGACAGACAGACAGAGACACGUUCAGACACAGAGAAACACACACUCACACAGCCCCAUGGGUGAAAGAUUGAGCAUGGUAACCAGACCCGGCAGAGUGAUCAUGCGUCCAGGCCGGGCCGGCGGCGGCCACACAAAAUAAUAUUUUAGACCUCUAAUCUCGAGAAAUAAUUUAAGUGUGUGGACUGGGACCAUGCCAGUGGAGGCUAUAGUGGUGGCAAGGGACAGAAAGAUGUAUUCACAUUAAUGCAUAACGUAAUGAAUAGAAUACACUGCUAAAAAAAAAUAGGCUUGCUUGAAUGCUUAAAUGGAGUGGGUUCAUCAGCCCACGCACGCUAAACCCCACCCGUCCCUCCCAAGUAUGAAUCCAUAAAUAACUUAGUCGCUUGGAAGAUACUCAACUUUCUGGAGAAUAAACUUGUCCAACUUGGGGCUCAGUCCUCAGUCAGUCAUUGACUCAAAACUUAGCUCACAUCUAAGCUUCCCAUUUUGAAGAGGUGUAGAUUGACUAAUACUAAUUCUAGUUAUAGUUAAUUGAAUAAUGGGUCAUCAGAGUGUGGACUUAACCUCUCCGAGCAGAAACAGAAUGCAUUAUUUAAUCACCAACCAGUUUGUAUUGUGUGGACGUAGGCCAAAGCAUGAAUGGCAAUGGCACCACAACACAUCAUGACUCCCUCAUUAAGUAUGACUGCAGCCCACAAGUGUCAACACCAGCCGAGAGAACGGCUGAUCGAAAUGAAGCAAUGACCUCAAAACAUCUGCUCUUUACAACAACAGUCAGAGUCAGAGAGCGAAGCCUCGUACUCAUCCACUAAAACGUGAUAUUAAAAAUAAAAAAAUUUUAACCUGCGACAAAAUCUACACAGCAGUAACCAAGGCAGAUAAAGACAUUGGUAACAGGGGUUCAUUUUGGGGUGAUUUCUCUCUCUACAUCUUCCCAACCAGCCUCAACACCCCUCACUGCCCUCUCUCCCAUCCACGCCAUCAACGCCCUUCCCUCCCCUCUCCACUACCCUCCCUCCCCUCUCCGCUACCCUCCCUCCCCCC
ensembl:lncRNA